CAAAUAUAUGUAUAUAAACCUUUAAAAUUAAAUCCAGUAGCAUAGAUCUGGAGAGAGUUGUACUAAACACAGAACACAAGCAAGGUAUCUUACUUAUUAUUAUUUAUCUACAUUUGUUUUUAUAAACGACUACUACUAUAGACUUACAACAUACAAAUUGCUAAGGGAAAUACUCGACGAGAUCCAAUUUUUUGUUCACUAAUUCCAAGAUUUUUUUUCACUAAUUCCAAGAUGACGUCUGUAGCAGUAGAUUUUUUAUCAUUAUUGUUUAGACUAAAUGCAUGAUUUGAAUCAGAUGAACAUUCGUCUAUUAACUUUAUCAUGCAGACAAAAUGCUAGUAUGGAGUAUAAAAAAAUUAAUCCCGGUAUCUUUGAUGAGUUAAUUUAUACGUUAGAAUAUACUAUAAAUCAUGAAUUGAAAGAUUGGUUGAGGGCUAAUCCAAACAUUUGUUGGAAAGUUAAAACAUCUUUUAUGGUUUGAGUUUAAAGUAAGUUACACUGUGUCAUAUACUCUUACUGUUUGACAUUUUCUCAAAUGUGUGUAAAGACUCUCGUUAAUAAAUAAACGAGGCCUGAAUGGUGAUCAUGAUUUUUUGAAUUCUUUAAAUUUUAGGGCAUUUUUCUGGAUCCUUAUAACGCUUAUUAUGUUAUUCUAUGUUUCUUUUUCUUCUUAAUAUUAUUUAAUAUUAAACUUAUUGUCCAGCUUUUUUGACGGAAUUGUGUCAACCAAUUUUAAUGCAAAUAUACCAUGAUGUUUACCAGCAUGUGCAGAUUUGCAAACGGGGUAUGGCAUUUUCAAGAUGGCUAUUGUUACCAUGGACUCUCCUAAAAUUAGAAAAAAAAAUCAAAAUUCUUAAUCCUUCAAUAUAAGACCUAACUAAAUGAAUCUUUAUGAAUAUGUUACCUGUUAUGCCUAGAUGAAAGGAAAGUAUUUUGAAACUUCUAAAUGGCUGCCAUUGGCAUGUAAACAGUGGGGAGGAAGUUUAUCAUUUACCUAUAUAGGAAAAUACAUUUAAACCUCAUUGUCUUAAAGAAUAUCACACCAAACCCAAUUAAACUACAUAGGUAUGUGUCAUAGCAUGUGCCAAUAUUAUAUCUGUCUUUGUACUUGGAAAUGAUCACCGUUACCAUGGAAACAGUAAAUUGAAUUUUAAAAUGGCUGCCGUUACCAUGGCAAUUGGGGGGUGCAAUCCACUAUUGCUAGCAACAGCAAAUCUAGCGUUGUAUUUUUUGCUCAUUUUGCCAUUUUUUCUCUUUUCUUUAUUUUAAUAGACCAUUAAUGUCAAUUCUGUAAACCACACCCGGACUCUUGUAAAUACACCAUAUCACAUUAAUUUUAGACUAAAAGAUAAAAACUUAUUGACAGACAAAUGGAAAUCAAUGUCAGAAAAAAAAUCCGAUAAAUUUCGUUGAUUUCGAUAUACAGCUAAAUCUUUGUAAGAAUACGGAUGAGAUUACAGAAAUACUUCUAAUUGUCGCUUUUCCACCUAGUUUAUGACCUUAAACAUAUGGACUUAAUAAAACUAAGACAAUGAAACAAUUACUACUGGUUAUUGAUAUCACCGACACCAUUUGUAUUUUUGUUCGUUAUAAAAGGAACGAUCAAUUUAAGUUAGAAAAACGUUGAGUUUUCUCAAAUAUUUACCGAUACCAAUUCGUAUACAAUAAUGGUUUCCGUAUAAAUUUACGUGAAAUGGUCUGAAAAUGAUUGACGAAGACAAUAUCAUAUUGUUAGCCUAGUAAGCAGCUCGUUCAUCAUCAUUUCAGCUAGGUUAAUCAACUAUUGGAACUAUAUCAACGAUUUCAUGUUAAGUAUCUAUAUUUGACAUGUGUAGAGUCACGAGUAUGUAUUUUAAAGAGUUUUUUUUUUAAUGCGUUUUGCUGUGUGUUUGUUUAUUCUACAUUGGCUAGAGGUAUAUGGCAGGGUUGAGAUCUAAAAAAACAUGUUUAACCCCGCCGCAUGUUUGCGUCUGUCCCAAGAUCAGGAGCCUCUGUGCCUUUGUUAGUCUUGUAUGUUUUUUUUUUUUAUUUAGUUCAUAUAAAUGUAUAUGUUUUGGCAUUUAGUGUGACGUCCAUUUUCAAUAGUACACAUUUUUCAAAGGGGCUAGCUGAUUUUACGAUCGUUUUUAUGAACAUUUGAAUCAAUGUUUGUACUUGUUUUAUUUCUGAUACAGCAAUUUAAGCUACUAUGUUUAAGAACGAGAACGUCAUUUUUCUAAAUGUUGGGGUAAUUCCAAGCAUGUUAUUAAACACAGAUUAGCAUGUAGUCGUUAAUGAUAUAAACAAAUUAGAGAAAAAAAAUUAUAACUAAAUAAAAAACUUUCAAACAGUUAUUUCGAUUGCAAAACAGACUUGCGAAUAAAUAAGUAUAAAUCUGUCACAAAGCUGCGUAACAUAAAAGCAGACACAAAAAUUAUUACUCAACACUCGUUUUGUCCUUCUUAAAUAAUUUUUUAUAAAGUUUGAUAUGACUUUUAAUUAUAUUAUUUUGAGCAUUACCAUAUGCAUAAUUACUACAAGAAGGUGAUUCAAUGAUGAUAAAUGUUAAUAUAAUGCAUUUUAUUUCAGAUGUUUCACACUUUAAUGGCUGCAUGUCUCUUAGUGCUAAUAAGCGUCACCACGACAAGUGGUUGCAGACAAUGUACAGUCAAUGGACAGCGAUAUAGGGGAAAUUCCCGCUUUCAGUUUACACAAGGCUGUUCGCGUUAUAAUUGUGUGUGUAACUGUGAUGGAAAAGUUGGAACUGCCCUGCUCAUGAUUCAACAAACAUCUGUUCUGGAUCAAACAUAAGCAAUGGCGGGUCUAAUUCGAACUGCAGGACUUGUCGAGUUAGAGGACAAACGUACACAGGAAACAGUCGUUUCCAAUAUAACAGUGGCUGCUACCGGUUUAACUGCGACUGCAACUGUGAUGGAAGUUGGAAUUGCCCGUCAAGCAGGACACAAAACAUUUGCUGAAAAGUUAUGUUUUGGACAUUUAAUCGCAUUUGAUUCAACUUAAUUAUAAUAUUGAUUAAAGGCUGAUCUAAAAUGUG
rnacentral:lncRNA from 1 species